AGACUCCUACGGGAGGCAGCAGUAAGGAAUAUUGGUCAAUGGGCGGAAGCCUGAACCAGCCAUGCCGCGUGCAGGAAGACGGCCCUACGGGUUGUAAACUGCUUUUGCAGGGGAAUAAACCUCGUUAUGUAUAACGAGCUGAAUGUACUCUGAGAAUAAGGAUCGGCUAACUCCGUGCCAGCAGCCGCGGUAAUACGGAGGAUCCGAGCGUUAUCCGGAUUUAUUGGGUUUAAAGGGUGCGUAGGCGGCUCAUUAAGUCAGGGGUGAAAGACGGUAGCUUAACUAUCGCAGUGCCUUUGAUACUGAUGAGCUUGAAUGUAGUUGAGGUAGGCGGAAUGUGACAAGUAGCGGUGAAAUGCAUAGAUAUGUCACAGAACACCAAUUGCGAAGGCAGCUUACUAAAGUAUGAUUGACGCUGAGGCACGAAAGCGUGGGGAUCAAACAGGAUUAGAUACCCUGGUAGUCCACGCCCUAAACGAUGAAUACUCGAUGUUAGCGAUAUACAGUUAGCGUCAAAGCGAAAG
rnacentral:rRNA from 1 species